rnacentral:rRNA from 1 species
GAUUUGAUCCUGGCUCAGAAUGAACGCUGGCGGCAUGCCUAACACAUGCAAGUCGAACGAGAUCUUCGGAUCUAGUGGCGCACGGGUGCGUAACGCGUGGGAAUCUACCCCUUGGUUCGGAAUAACAGUUGGAAACGACUGCUAAUACCGGAUGAUGACGUAAGUCCAAAGAUUUAUCGCCGAGGGAUGAGCCCGCGUAGGAUUAGCUAGUUGGUGUGGUAAAGGCGCACCAAGGCGACGAUCCUUAGCUGGUCUGAGAGGAUGAUCAGCCACACUGGGACUGAGACACGGCCCAGACUCCUACGGGAGGCANCAGUACUGCUGCC